GUGGAAUUGGUCCCAGUACACACACACACACACACACACACACACACACACACCGUCCCUCCUCUGCAAGAGCAGAUAUCAAAAUCCACACAUUCUCACGUCCCUUGUCUCGCCCUUUGCCCAGGUGUGCCAGGGCAGUGGAGUAGGUUGUAGACAUGCCAAAGAAAGUGCCUGGAGACACCAUGGGAGAUGGGAUCACUCCGGACGCAAAGCUGUCAUUGUGAAGAUAUUGAUGAUGGCACAUCAGAUCGUCCCUACAGCCAUGCUCUGGUGGCUGGAAUCGAACUGCUGUCUCCACAAAGUGACAGCUACCAUGGGCAAGAAGAAAAAUCACCAAAAGGUCAAAGAUCAAGUCUUUUGUGAAAUUUUAUAAUUACAAUCGCCUCAUGCCCACAAGGUACUCUUCGGGUAUCCCCUUGGACAAAACUGUCGUCAACAAGGAUGUCUUCAGAGACCUGCUCUUAAACGUAGGCCCGUCGGGAGGCCAAGAUUAAGUUUGAAGAGAGGUACAAGAGGCCAGAGACGGCGCCACAGAGAGUUCCGUGGUGACAGGCUGAGCAUACCUCUGACCCUUGUGCUGCUUUGGCAAACAGAGCCCCUCCCCCCCGCCGCUUCACAGCACUCUGCCCAGGGCAGCUAGCUGGACAAGUGACACAGUGCCCUCAGUUCUGCAACCGUCCCCACUCGGGGGUUUUACCUGUUAGGCUUCAGAAGCAGCAACAUUGUUGGCAUCAGUUUGCUGAGCUUGCUUGUAUGACCAGCAUCCCAAGGAGCACCUGUUAUGCACAUGAAAGAAAGCAGCUUUUGCCCGGCAUGGUGGCAUGCACCUGUAAUUUCACCAGCUCAGGAGGCUGAGGCAGGAGAAUUACAGGUUCAAAGCCAGCCUCAGCAACAUAGUGAGGCCUUAAGCAACUUAGUGAAACCUUGUCUCAAAAAAUAAAAAGGGCUGGGGAUGUGGCCCACUGGUUAAGCACCCCUAGGUUCAAUCCCUGGUACCCCCCCCCCAAAAAAAAAAAAGAAAAAAAGUAGUUUCCACAGGUAACACAGACUUGCCCUAGUUCCCAGUGUGCAUAAGAGAAAUCUAGUAUCCUCCUAGAUAGUGUAUCUGGACGUUCCUACCCAGAUUUGCUCUCAUUCACUUGGCUAGGAUUUGGGGAACAGAAAGGGGGCAAUCACAUAAACAUAUUGGAGAAAAGACAGUCUCUUCAACAAAUGGUGCUGGGAAAAGUGGAUAUGCACAUGUAGCAAAAUGAGAUUAAACCUCAUUCUCUCACCCUCCACAAAAUCAAAGUAAAUCAAGGACAUAGGAAUUAAGACAAAUGAUGCUGCACCUGCUAGAAGAAACUGUAGGUCCAACUCUCCAUCCUGUCAGCAAGACUCCUAAGGUGCAAGAAGUAAAAUCAAGAAUCAGAGAGCCUGCAGAAUGGGAGAAAAUCUUUGCCACCUGCACCUCAGAUAGAGCAUUAAUCUCCUGUAUAUAUAAAGAACUCAAAAAACUUACCACAAACCAUAUAACCCAGUCAAAAAAUGGGCAAAGGACCUGAACAUGCACUUCACAGAAGAAGAAAUAUGAAUGACCUACAAAUAUAUGAAAAAAUUCAACAUCUUUAGCAAUUAGAGAAAUGCAAAAUAAAACUACACUGAGGCUGGGGAUGUGGCUCAAGCGGUAGCGCGCUCGCUUGGCAUGCGUGCAGCCCGGGUUCGAUCCUCAGCACCACAUACAAACAAAGAUAUUGUGUCCGCCGAAAACUAAAAAUAAAUAUUAAAAAAAAAAAAACUACACUGAGAUUCCCUCUCACUCCAGUCACAUGGCAGUUAUCAAGACUACAGGUAACAAUAAGUUGGCAAGGAUGUGGGGGGAAAGGUACACUCAUAACACUGCUGUUGGGACUGCAGAUUUGUGCAAGCACUCUGGAAAACAAUAUGGAGAGCCCUCAGAAAACUUGGAAUGGAACCACCAUUUGACUCAGUUAUAUACUCCUCAGUAUAUACCCAAAGGACUUAAAAUCAGCAUAUUUCAGUGACACAGCCACAUUAAUGUUUAUAGCAGCUCAGUUCACAAUAACCAAGCUAUGGGACCAACCUAGGUGCCCUUCAACAGAUGAAUGGAGAAAGAAAUGUGAGAUAGACACACACACACACACACACACCUACAAUGAAAUAUUACUCAGCCAUAAAGAAGAAUAAAAUUAUGGUGUUUGCUGGUAAAUGGAUGGAACCGGAGACUAUCGAGCUAUGUGAAAUAAGCAAUUCCCAAAAAACCAAAGGCUGGUUGUUCCCUCUGAUAUGAAGAUAUGCAGAUGCUAAC
rnacentral:lncRNA from 1 species